UAAAAUAUGGUUUAAUACCUCAUGAUAAUUAAAACCUUGUCACGAUUUUCACAUCUUUUCGGAAAAUCAUCAUUUUUCAAAAAAUUCGAUCAUGGAAAAAAAAAAAAAAAUUACAGCAAACUCAAACAAUAAAAAUUAAAAAUUGGGUUUAAUACAUCAUGAUAAUCAAAAUUUCACAUCUUUUCGGAAAAUCAUCAUUUUUCAAAAAAUUCGAUCAUGGAUAAAAAGAAAUAAAAAAAAAAAGUACAGCAAAUUUUCAAAAAAUUCGAUCAUGGAUUACAAAAAAAAAUUUGAUCAUGGAUUAAAAAAAAAAUUAACAAAUUUUCAAAAAGUUCGAUCAUGGAUUAAAAAAAAAAA
rnacentral:lncRNA from 1 species